GCACACACUCACUUAAGCCCUUUUGCCCCAACUCCCUCACAUCACUUUAUACUAGCACACGCUCACUUAAGCCCUUUUGCCCCAACUCCCUCACAUCACUUUAUACUAGCACACGCUCCACUCUCCCUCACAUCUCCCUCAUAAAUCCUCCCCACUUCCCCGCUUCCCGACUUCCUCACAUCAGUUAUAGAGCGCGCACACACACACACUGCACAAAGGGGACGAAAAAACAGAGAGCAAUAGAGAAAAAUCGUAGCGCCUACCUCUUCUUCUCCUAGCCUCCCUCGACCAAAACUCCUCCAAAGCAGCCAAUAAAAGCUCAAAAACGGAACAAUUUUCAGCCAUUAAAAACAGCCAUAAAACGUCACUAAAAAUCACCCCUAAAAAACAGUUUCAUCUCCACCCCAAAAUACACCAUAAAACACCUCAAAAUUCACACUAAAGAGCAGCAAAACAAGAUGUGAAAACAAUUAGGAAGAGUAGCUAAAAUCAGCUGCAAAACAGUCCAAAGUGCUGCUCUUUUUCCACCCAAAAUCAACACCAAAACACACCUGAAACCAAGCUCUAAAAACAGUUUCAUCCCACAAAAAUUAGCUCAAAAAACGCUGCCAAAACCAGUUGAAAACCCAGGUGAAACAGUCCCCCUUCUCCACCCAACAAACCAGUUUCCUCCAUAACCUUUCAACCCCAUAAACAUCAGCUAAGAAACAGCCCUGAAACUUCUCCACUUUUCAGUCAAUUUCGUGUUUCUGGUAAGGUUGUGCCGUUGGAGGUUCUCAGUUGUGGUCGCUGCUCUUGGUUUGAUUGUUGUGCAACAACAAUUUUAAAGUUUGGAUUCAAUCAAUACAAGGUCUAUUUUUACUUCCUGACCAAUUUUUAAUAUGCUGUUUGUUUCUUCGUCUUUUAGCCAUGUGAAUAUUCUAUUUUUUAAAUGUGAUGAUUGUUUUUUUUUCCCUUGUCUUUUGUCAACUUAAUACCUUUGAAUGAAUAGAUCUAAUUAUAAUUAAACAUAUGUGGAAAAUAUUUGUUGCUUUAAAUACAAAAGUAGUUUUGUUGAAAUAUAUUUAGAUUGGGUACUAGACUAAGAAGGAUUUGGACUUAAUUGAAAAGAGGUUUAAGACAUGUAAUUCCAUUAAGUGACUUUGGUCAUAAAUUAAUUAGACGAAGUUUUGUUUUGUUAAUUUGGUUGGUGUUGAGUCUUUGAAUUUGAU
rnacentral:lncRNA from 1 species